AGCUUCUGGUUUCUCCGCCGCGGAAUCUGAGGAAAUUAGAGCGGGCGGGCGGGCUUCUUCCAGCUCCGGCUCCCCACCUUGCCUUCUUACCCUGGUGGCUGCGCUGCGCCGCGCGGGAUCUCGAUUACUGCGAAGGAAAAAACACUGGGUGUGCAGGUUCCCUUCGCCCCUGGAGUUGACAGUCCGGCCGGUGUCCACACUCCCACCGGUGCUCCUUCUGGACACCCCCCGCAGUCUGUUCCUCACGCGCACCCCCCUUCAAAAGAAGGUUUCAGUUUAUUUUCGAGCUGGGGAAAGGAAGAACGACGAGGAGGAAAAAAGAGGGAGGCGGCGGAUGGCAAACGUAGAAUAAAUGUCCAUCUCGUCCUCCCAGCGAAAUCGAGGGAGGGGACACACAGGGGGGCGGCGAAGAGGGAGCUGCCCAUUAAAACCGGCACUGAGAGUCCUGGCAGCGGCGGCGGCGGCGGCGCGGGACGCGUCACAUCCCCUUGACCCUCCAAUCACCUCGGGCUCCCAUUUGAUUGGAAGGCGGCAAAGGCUUUAAUCUCCCCCUUGGUGCAGCUGCUUUUGAAGUGAGUUUCCUCGCCAGAGCCCCGGCUGGACACGCAGCGGCUCGCAUCGCAGAGCGCAGCGCCGGCGCGGGGCCGCGAGAACGCAGCGCAGGGGAGCAGCCCGAGGCGGACACCGCGAGCCGCCCGGCACUCCCGCAGUCCAGCCGGCUCCUCUAGCCCGGCCACGGCUCCGCUGCGGGCCACCCAGGAUUACUCGCGUCUGGCUCCAGGCGCCGAGAAGGCGCGCUGGGCGCCCGUGGCCGCCGCGCCAGCUCCUCCUCCUCCCGCUGCUCCUGCUCCCGGGGCGAGCGCGCAGCCCCGAGCCCGCCCCGCGCCUCCCGGAGCCCUCCCCCCCGCUGCUCCCAUGCGCGCGGGUGGGUCAUGAGCACAGCGCCCUCGCUUUCUGCCCUAAGAAGCAGUAAGCACAGCGGCGGCGGCGGCGGCGGAGGCGGAGGCGGCGGUGCAGACCCUGCCUGGACCAGCGCGCUCUCUGGAAAUAGCUCCGGCCCCGGCCCAGGCUCGUCCCCGGCCGGCAGCACCAAGCCUUUUGUGCACGCCGUGCCCCCCUCUGACCCCCUGCGCCAGGCCAACCGCCUGCCAAUCAAGGUGCUGAAGAUGCUGACGGCACGAACUGGCCACAUUUUGCACCCCGAGUACCUGCAGCCCCUGCCUUCCACGCCGGUCAGCCCCAUCGAGGUAAGGACCCUCUCUCUGGAUCGCACUGGGACCACUACCCUGGCUGCCACCCUAGGGCUUUCUUUUUCUCGGGAUCUGGGCGGAGGUGGGGGGGUCGGAGUGAUUCAGCUCCCGAAUGGGGGAAGAGGCUACUGCUUCCGUACCUCAAAACUAGGGCGGAAAAGGGGGAGGAAGUGGAAUGGGGCGUGCAUGCUAGGGAGCAAGGCUGCCAAUACUUGUUUCUCCUUUCGAUAUGAAAGCCCCUACCCCGACCCAGGCCCCUUCACUCGGCACCGAAGGCAGGCGGAGGUCUGAAAUACGGUUCCAAAGUCGCCGUCCUUCGUAUCCGCAGAAGCCAGUGUGUGCACACAGCCUCUGAGGCGCCAGCCGCCCGAGCCCUUACUCUGAAGAAUUAAGGAGUGUUUGUGGGGAGGGGGUACAGUUCUGGGUCUAGGAACCGAAAACCAAAACAUUUUGCUCUUUAAAAAUCUAGUUAGCGCUCAGAGAGGGCAGGAAAGAUGCUGCUGGGGGUGGUGGUUGGGCGGGGGGAGCAAUCUGCUGCCUUUCCCAACGGCGAGAAUGUUUGUGAGUGGGUGUUGAAGAGGGGGUGCCGCCUAGAAUUGCGCCUUGGGGCUGGGAGGAUCUUCGUGGGCUGUUGCGGAGAGGCAUUUGAACCCCAGAAGCCAGGAUUCUAAAGGGUUUCCACUUCUUUCUCUGUGUGACGCUCCCCCCCCAUCGUCUGACCCCGCAGCUCGAUGCCAAGAAGAGCCCGCUGGCGCUGUUGGCGCAAACAUGUUCGCAGAUCGGGAAGCCCGACCCCUCGCCCUCCUCCAAACUCUCCUCGGUUGCCUCCAACGGGGGCGGCGCGGGCGGUGCCGGCGGCGGUGCUGCGGGCGACAAGGACACCAAAUCGGGCCCCCUGAAGCUGAGCGACAUCGGCGUGGAGGACAAGUCGAGUUUCAAGCCGUACUCCAAACCCGGCUCGGAUAAGAAGGAGCCGGGAGGCGGCGGUGGAGGCGGUGGCGGUGGCGGGGGCGGCGGCGGGGGUGUUUCGUCGGAGAAGUCGGGAUUCCGGGUACCGAGCGCCACCUGCCAGCCAUUCACGCCCAGGACAGGCAGCCCGAGCUCCAGCGCCUCGGCCUGCUCGCCGGGAGGUAUGCUGUCCUCGGCCGGGGGUGCCCCGGAGGGCAAGGACGACAAGAAAGACACCGACGUGGGCGGCGGUGGCAAGGGCACCGGGGGCGCCUCGGCCGAAGGGGGACCCACGGGGCUGGCACACGGCCGGAUUAGCUGCGGCGGCGGGAUUAAUGUGGAUGUGAACCAGCAUCCGGAUGGGGGCCCGGGAGGCAAGGCUCUGGGCUCGGACUGCGGCGGUUCAUCGGGCUCCAGCUCCGGCUCCGGCCCCAGCGCGCCCACCUCCUCCUCAGUGUUGGGCUCUGGGCUGGUGGCUCCCGUGUCACCCUACAAGCCGGGCCAGACAGUGUUCCCUCUGCCUCCCGCGGGUAUGACCUACCCAGGCAGCCUGGCCGGGGCCUACGCCGGCUACCCGCCCCAGUUCCUGCCACACGGCGUGGCACUUGACCCCACCAAGCCGGGCAGCCUGGUGGGGGCGCAGCUGGCGGCGGCCGCGGCCGGGUCUCUGGGCUGCAGUAAGCCGGCCGGCUCCAGCCCUUUGGCCGGAGCGUCUCCGCCGUCCGUGAUGACAGCCAGUUUGUGCCGGGACCCUUACUGCCUCAGCUACCACUGCGCUAGCCACCUGGCAGGGGCGGCGGCCGCCAGCGCUUCUUGCGCACAUGAUCCGGCUGCUGCGGCUGCGGCGCUGAAGUCCGGAUACCCGCUGGUGUACCCCACGCACCCGCUGCACGGUGUGCACUCCUCGCUAACGGCCGCCGCGGCUGCUGGCGCCACACCGCCCUCCCUGGCCGGCCACCCCCUCUACCCCUACGGCUUUAUGCUCCCUAACGACCCACUCCCCCACAUCUGCAACUGGGUGUCGGCCAACGGGCCGUGCGACAAGCGCUUCGCCACGUCCGAAGAGCUGCUGAGCCACUUGCGGACCCAUACGGCAUUUCCCGGGACAGACAAACUGCUGUCGGGCUACCCCAGCUCGUCGUCUCUGGCCAGCGCUGCCGCGGCCGCCAUGGCUUGCCACAUGCACAUCCCCACCUCGGGCGCACCGGGCAGCCCUGGGACGCUGGCGCUGCGCAGCCCCCACCACGCGCUGGGACUCAGCAGCCGCUACCACCCCUACUCCAAGAGCCCGCUUCCCACGCCUGGCGCCCCCGUGCCGGUGCCCGCCGCCACCGGACCGUACUACUCCCCCUACGCCCUCUACGGACAGAGACUGACCACCGCCUCGGCGCUGGGGUAUCAGUGAGGGCGGCCGGGAGGGCGAGCGAGGGAGAGGAGGGAGAGGGGGAGGGGAGGAGUCCAGGGAGAGGCGGGAUCACGGCCCAGGCUGCUGACACCCGCGCGUGGGGAGGACUCGGGCCACGAAAGGAAAGAAAUGUAUACCGUAUCUAUCUACCCGACAGCAGCGACCGAGACCCGGUGGGACACUCCCCUUCUCCCCACUUUCACCUCCCCACCCAAACUUUAUAAAAGUUGAAAAAAUAUCAUUUGACUUUUUAUAGAAAAAAAAAGGAAAAAAUAAUUGAGAAAGUGUUCAUCUGAGGACUGCAUCGGUGGACACUGGUAUUUAUUUAUGUUAGCUCCAAGCGGACCGGUGGUUCAAAAGUGCAUUAUUUAGUUUGAGCUCUGUAGGUAAAAAGGAGGUGGGAAAAAUUUUAAAACUUGAGGGUAAAAAUGUGGAAAACAAACCCUCCCAUCCCUUGUAGAUUAUAAAUAAAAGCAAAACCGCCACAGAACUAGAGGUCUUCUCUUUAAUGUUACUUUAAAAUUGCUAUGAUUGUAUUGUACGUUAUUUAAUGUCUGAUUGAAACACAAAUUUACAUGCAUGUUUGUUACAAAAAAAAUGAAAAAAAAAGUCACAAUUUGUCAGCUCUGAUUUCAAAUUGCAAUUAUUUUUAAGGUGUAUACCAUCGAAGAGAAUGGGUAUUUUUUUGUAUGUAUUCUGGAAGAAAACAACAAAAAAAAAAAGAAAAAGAAAAAAUUCUAUUCCAAAACCUCAUUUGCCUUAUUUUGUUCUUUAAAAGGAACACUUAACUAUUUUUAAUUUUUAAGUCCACCCGCUGAGAAGGGGACAAGGUUUACGUCAUGUACUAAAAUAAUAGACAAUGUAUCGCUUUAAAGAUUAAAAUUCCGUAUAUUUGAUGUAUUAAAGGGUUUUACUUCUUCUUCUUAUCUUUUUUAUUUUGGUUAAAGAGAGCAUGGCAGUUUCGGCCGCAGUGGGUUCCGGGGCCUCACUGCUACUCC
rnacentral:lncRNA from 1 species